CACACGCACACACACAGACACACACGCACACACACACACACACACACACACACACACACACACAGAGAGGUCACUACCAGGUCUUUCUACAGUAGUUUCAUUAGUUUACAGUGUUUCUUUCUCUUUAGGUAGCAGCUUGUUUUCUACAGUUCAGCGUAGUGGAGGGGUUAGAGGUCAGGGGUUAGAGGUCAGGGGUUAGAGGUCAGGGGUUAGAGGUCAGGGGUUAGAGGUCAGGGGUUAGAGGUCAGGGGUUCUACAGUUCAGCGUAGUGGAGGUAGUUCAGCAUGAUGAGUAACUUGCCUGAGACCUGAGGACUCAGGUUACUGCCCAGAGAGAGCCUAGUCUUUAGUUCAGCGGGCUAACAUGGUCUCGUGGCGCGCAGACAAUCUAGGUUUACUCAGCAGUCGGUCACACUAGCAGGUUACACAGUUUGCUGCGCACACACACAGUUAUGAUGAGCUGUUUCCAACACUGUGCUCCGUCACGCGCAAACACACCUGUCUCCCAUGGUGCAGUGGGGCGUUAUGUCAUAAGGUGCUCCCUUACGGUAAUAUGGUUGCUAUGGGUUACUAUAGUUACUAUGGGUUAUUAUAGUUACUAUGGGUUACCAUCAGUUACUAUCUGUCAGUAUAGUGAGUGGUCUGUUGUACUGUAGGGGGAGGGGCUUGGGGCCAGGGGGUGGGAUGUUUAUUUGUUGUUUGAUGUGAUUUACUGGUGGUUAUUUGAUUGACAGGUGAUAAGUCAACGAAGGUUAUGGUCAUCUGUUGACAGUUUUAACAAGGUGGAGGCCGAGCAGGCUGUCAUACACACAGACAUGGCUCGUCUCAUGGCUGGAAUGAAGAGGAAGGACUGGUGAGGUUUCAAAAGGUGCUCAAAUGAAAUAUGACAAAUCUAUAGUUAGAAUAUAUCAGAUCUAUAGUUAGAAUAAGGUUGUCUUUCCAAUGGCUGUAUUUAGUUGUGGUAGAGAGUCAAAGGCAAAAUUAUGUACUCUUGUAUCUUGUAUGCAGAAUAACUAAAGGCAUUUUAACUUUGUACUUGAACCUGAAAUGAAUAAAGGAUUCAUGUUUUAGCCUAGA